rnacentral:rRNA from 1 species
CGAGGGGCAUCAGUUUGGUUUGCUUGCAAACCAAAGCUGGCGACCGGCGCACGGGUGAGUAACACGUAUCCAACCUGCCUCAUACUCGGGGAUAGCCUUUCGAAAGAAAGAUUAAUAUCCGAUAGCAUAUAUUUCCCGCAUGGGUUUUAUAUUAAAGAAAUUCGGUAUGAGAUGGGGAUGCGUUCCAUUAGUUUGUUGGCGGGGUAACGGCCCACCAAGACUACGAUGGAUAGGGGUUCUGAGAGGAAGGUCCCCCACAUUGGAACUGAGACACGGUCCAAACUCCUACGGGAGGCAGCAGUGAGGAAUAUUGGUCAAUGGACGCGAGUCUGAACCAGCCAAGUAGCGUGAAGGAUGACUGCCCUAUGGGUUGUAAACUUCUUUUAUAUGGGAAUAAAGUGGUCCACGUGUGGAUUUUUGUAUGUACCAUAUGAAUAAGGAUCGGCUAACUCCGUGCCAGCAGCCGCGGUAAUACGGAGGAUCCGAGCGUUAUCCGGAUUUAUUGGGUUUAAAGGGAGCGUAGGCGGAUUGUUAAGUCAGUUGUGAAAGUUUGCGGCUCAACCGUAAAAUUGCAGUUGAUACUGGCAGUCUUGAGUGCAGUAGAGGUGGGCGGAAUUCGUGGUGUAGCGGUGAAAUGCUUAGAUAUCACGAAGAACUCCGAUUGCGAAGGCAGCUCACUGGAGUGUAAC